GGAUCAAUUUGUUGGUCGUGCCUCGGUACGUACUGGCAUUAUUGGUUUCUACCUUCUGAAGAACCUUGAUGUCAUUAAUUUGGUGUCUUGGGGAAUCAGGACUGUUACUUUGAAAAAAUUAGAGUGUUUAAAGCAGGCAUACGCUUGAAUACAUUAGCAUGGAAUAAUGAAAUAGGACGUUUGAUUCUAUUUUGUUGGUUUCUAGGAUCGACGUAAU
rnacentral:rRNA from 1 species